GACGAACGCUGGCGGCGUGCUUAACACAUGCCAGUCGAACGGUGAAGCGCCUUCCUUUUUGGUGGGUGUGGAUGAGUGGCGAACGGGUGAGUAACACGUGAGUAACCUGCCCCCUUCUUCUGGAUAACCGCAUGAAAGUGUGGCUAAUACGGGAUAUUCUGGGUCUGUCGCAUGAUGGGUCUGGGAAAGAUAUUGUUUCGGUUGGGGAUGGGCUCGCGGCCUAUCAGCUUGUUGGUGGGGUGAUGGCCUACCAAGGCGGUGACGGGUAGCCGGCCUGAGAGGGUGGACGGUCACACUGGGACUGAGACACGGCCCAGACUCCUACGGGAGGCAGCAGUGGGGAAUAUUGCACAAUGGGCGCAAGCCUGAUGCGGCGACGCCGCGUGAGGGAUGGAGGCCUUCGGGUUGUGAACCUCUUUCGCCAGUGAAGCAGGCCUGCCUCGUUUGUGGGUGGGUUGACGGUAGCUGGAUAAGAAGCGCCGGCUAACUACGUG
rnacentral:rRNA from 1 species